rnacentral:tRNA from 1 species
AUUACUUUGGCAGAUUAGUGCAAUAGAUUUAGAAUUUAUAAAAGUAUAAUAUACAAGUAAUA